rnacentral:rRNA from 1 species
GACGUAGGGCGCGAGCGUUGUCCGGAAUUACUGGGCGUAAAGCGCGUGUAGGCGGGUGAUCAAGUCAGGUGUGAAAUCCCCAGGCUCAACCUGGGAACUGCACUUGAAACUGGUCGCCUUGAGUGUUGGAGAGGGAAGCGGAAUUCCUGGUGUAGAGGUGAAAUUCGUAGAUAUCAGGAGGAACACCGGUGGCGAAGGCGGCUUCCUGGACAAUUACUGACGCUGAGACGCGAAAGCGUGGGGAGCAAACAGG